GACGAACGCUGGCGGCGGGCUUAACACAUGCAAGUCGAACGGAAAGGCCCUGCUUGUGUGGGGUUCUCGAGGGGCGAACGGGGGAGUAACACGUGAGUAACCUGCUCUUGACUUUGGGAUAACUUCAGGAAACUGGGGCUAAUACCGGAUAGGAGCUCCUGCUGCAUGGUGGGGGUUGGAAAGUUUCGGCGGGUGGGGAUGGACGCGCGGCUUAUCAGCUUGUUGGUGGGGUAGGGGCUUACCAAGGCAUGGACGGGUCGCCGGCCUGAGAGGGUGACCGGCCUCAAUGGGCCUGCGAUACGGCGCAGAGUGCUACGUGAGGCAGCAGUCGGGAGUAUUGCACAGUGGGCGCGAGCCUGAUGCAGCGACGCCGCGUGCGGGAUGACGGUCUUCGGGUUGUAAACCGCUUUCGCCUGUGACCACGCGUGAGUGACGGUAAUGGGUAAAGAAGCACCGGCUAACUACGUG
rnacentral:rRNA from 1 species